CUAAUCCCCAUCAGAAGU
rnacentral:rRNA from 1 species